rnacentral:lncRNA from 1 species
GUUCUCAGCAGUGAAGACUUCACCUGCUUCUGGCUUCUUGGCAAGGGAUAAACUUGGAUAAACAUGGGGAGUCUUCCACACUGUGCUGAGGCAUAAGUCAAGGUAGACAUUCCCAGCUUCUGAAGAACUCUCAGUCUAAAUACAGCGUAUGGGUUUCUUUUCAGAAACAAAAUGCCAAUCA